rnacentral:tRNA from 3 species
GGAAGGUUGGCAGAGUGGUAAUGCACCGGACUCGAAAUCCGGCGAACCGGCUAAUACCGGCGCACGGGUUCAAUCCCCGUACCUUCCU